rnacentral:rRNA from 1 species
UUAACGACUCUCGGCAACGGAUAUCUCGCGUCUCGCAUCGAUGAAGAACGUAGCGAAAUGCGAUACUUGGUGUGAAUUGCAGAAUCCCGUGAACCAUCGAGUCUUUGAACGCAAGUUGCGCCCGAAGCCAUUAGGCCGAGGGCACGUCUGCCUGGGCGUCACGUA